rnacentral:rRNA from 1 species
GAUGAACGCUGGCGGCGUGCCUAAUACAUGCAGGUCGAGCGAACAGACGAGGAGCUUGCUCCUCUGACGUUAGCGGCGGACGGGUGAGUAACACGUGGAUAACCUACCUAUAAGACUGGGAUAACUUCGGGAAACCGGAGCUAAUACCGGAUAAUAUAUUGAACCGCAUGGUUCAAUAGUGAAAGACGGUUUUGCUGUCACUUAUAGAUGGAUCCGCGCCGCAUUAGCUAGUUGGUAAGGUAACGGCUUACCAAGGCAACGAUGCGUAGCCGACCUGAGAGGGUGAUCGGCCACACUGGAACUGAGACACGGUCCAGACUCCUACGGGAGGCAGCAGUAGGGAAUCUUCCGCAAUGGGCGAAAGCCUGACGGAGCAACGCCGCGUGAGUGAUGAAGGUCUUCGGAUCGUAAAACUCUGUUAUUAGGGAAGAACAAAUGUGUAAGUAGCUAUGCACGUCUUGACGGUACCUAAUCAGAAAGCCACGGCUAACUACGUG